rnacentral:rRNA from 1 species
GACGAACGCUGGCGGCGUGCCUAAUACAUGCAAGUCGAGCGGACGGAUGGGAGCUUGCUCCCAGACCGUCAGCGGCGGACGGGUGAGUAACACGUGGGCAACCUGCCUGUAAGACUGGGAUAACUCCGGGAAACCGGGGCUAAUACCGGAUAACUCUUUCCCUCACAUGAGGGAAAGCUGAAAGAUGGCAUCUCGCUAUCACUUACAGAUGGGCCCGCGGCGCAUUAGCUAGUUGGUGAGGUAACGGCUCACCAAGGCGACGAUGCGUAGCCGACCUGAGAGGGGGAUCGGCCACACUGGGACUGAGACACGGCCCAGACUCCUACGGGAGGCAGCAGUAGGGAAUCUUCCGCAAAGGACGAAAGUCUGACGGAGCAACGCCGCGUGAGUGAUGAAGGUUUUCGGAUCGUAAAACUCUGUUGUCAGGGAAGAACAAGUACCGGAGUAACUGCCGGUACCUUGACGGUACCUGACCAGAAAGCCACGGCUAACUACGUG